rnacentral:misc_RNA from 1 species
UCUCCGUUGGUGAACCAGCGGAGGGAUCAUUACAGGACUCGCAAGACUCCUUCACCCUGUGAACCUCACUACAAGCACGUUGCUUCGGCGGGUGCCCCGGCUCGCCGGGGCGCGAAGCCCGCCGGCAGCCUACUAUACUCUGUCCCUUUGCGUUGGCAUCUCGAGAAAAGACAAACAAGUUAAAACUUUCAACAACGGAUCUCUUGGUUCUG